UACGUAGGCAGCAAGCGUUGUUCGGAUUUACUGGGCGUAAAGGGUGUGUAGGCGGUUGUUUAAGUUUGGUGUGAAAUCUCCCGGCUCAACUGGGAGGGUGCGCCGAAUACUGAAUGACUAGAGUGCGGGAGAGGAAAGUGGAAUUCCUGGUGUAGCGGUGAAAUGCGUAGAUAUCAGGAGGAACACCGGUGGUGUAGACGGCUUUCUGGACCGUAACUGACGCUGAGACACGAAAGCGUGGGUAGCAAACAGG
rnacentral:rRNA from 1 species